rnacentral:rRNA from 1 species
UUGGGCGUAAGCGCGCGCAGGCGGUUUCUUAAGUCUGAUGUGAAAGCCCACGGCUUAACCGUGGAGGGUCAUUGGAAACUGGGAGACUUGAGUGCAGAAGAGGAAAGUGGAAUUCCAAGUGUAGCGGUGAAAUGCGUAGAGAUUUGGAGGAACACCAGUGGCGAAGGCGACUUUCUGGUCUGCAACUGACGCUGAGGCGCGAAAGCAUGGGGAGCAAACAGGAUUAGAUACCCUGGUAGUCCAUGCCGUAAACGAUGAGUGCUAAGUGUUAGGGGGUUUCCGCCCCUUAGUGCUGCAGCUAACGCAUUAAGCACUCCGCCUGGGGAGUACGACCGCAAGGUUGAAACUCAAAGGAAUUGACGGGGGCCCGCACAAGCGGUGGAGCAUGUGGUUUAAUUCGAAGCAACGCGAAGAACCUUACCAGGUCUUGACAUCCCAGUGACCACUCUAGAGAUAGAGUUUUCCCUUCGGGGACAUUGGUGACAGGUGGUGCAUGGUUGUCGUCAGCUCGUGUCGUGAGAUGUUGGGUUAAGUCCCGCAACGAGCGCAACCCUUGAUCUUAGUUGCCAUCAUUCAGUUGGGCACUCUAAGGUGACUGCCGGUGACAAACCGGAGGAAGGUGGGGAUGA